GAAAAAAAACACUAUGGAGAGCCAAGGGCAUGCACGGAAAAACAGCUGAACAUUAGAGACAGGAGCACACUUCUGGAGUGAGAAACUGACCAACUCUGCAUAUCAACUUCAAGUCAAAGCACUCAGAAUUGGCUCAGAGGACCAAACCCCAGGAGCUGUCCGUCUGCACACGUGUCUAUGUGGAAUCAUCUCUGCCCCACCCACUCCUCCUCAGCCA